CUCAACUGUUUAGCAAUGUGCCAGGACUAGAGGACAGCUAAGACCUCCGAGUUGAGACUGCAAGUCAUAAAGGACUUUGUGAGGUAUGGUACCCCUGCAACCUAGCACAGUGCAUAGCAUGUAGAAGACCCUCAUUAAACAUUUCUUAUCUGAAUGAAAAUGUUACAAAAUGCAUUGUGAAAUACCUACAAUGUCGAAAGAAAGGAAUAAACAAAACCAAACUACUACCCGAUUCGGCAUGCAAACUGUUACCUCAAGAAGGAAAGAAGAAAAUGGAAUGCAAAAACCAUUGUGUCUAAACAUUGACCAGAUGUGUGAAAAACUUAUUUUAAUGAGGGGCACUGUGACUCACUAAGCAGUAAAACUUGAGUCCUGAU
rnacentral:lncRNA from 1 species